CCGAAAAUUUAUAUGUUCUUCGCGCAGGUGUCUGUCCGCCCAGUUUGCCUGAAGAGUCAGAAGGAACAGGUGUCUUCAUUUUUGAGGCUACACAGCACGUUACAAGUUGAGUUGUGAAGAUGAAAGCUGCCUACCUCCUGUGCCUGGUCCUGACCAUAGCCGUGGUUCAGGGAAACCCCCGAGUGAAGCGAGAUGCCGCUGAUCCGCAAAACAACGAGCUCGCGAGAGGAGAGUUCCUGUCCGAUCUUGCGAAUUUGUAUUCUCUUGUAAAGCGCGGCGGCCCCCUGGAUAGCCCAAUGCACGAUAAAGGGCUGAAAGCCGCACUGGCCGUACGCGAGUUUCGGGAGACCCUUGAAGCUUGGGACGUAAGGAAGGAAGCUCAAGACCGGAGGGAGAGCGUCUUGUCCGAUCUGCAAGAGACCGUCGGCUACAAGAAGCAAGUCGCCCGCGAAGGGGAAGCAA